CAGUAGCCGCGGUAAUACGAAGGGGGCUAGCGUUGUUCGGAUUUACUGGGCGUAAAGGGUGCGUAGGCGGACUGAUAAGUCAGGGGUGAAAUCCCAAGGCUCAACCUUGGAACUGCCUUUGAUACUGUUAGUCUUGAGUUCGAGAGAGGUGAGUGGAACUGCGAGUGUAGAGGUGAAAUUCGUAGAUAUUCGCAAGAACACCAGUGGCGAAGGCGGCUCACUGGCUCGAAACUGACGCUGAGGCACGAAAGCGUGGGGAGCAAACAGGAUUAGAUACCCCUGUAGUCCCUGUCUCUUAUAC
rnacentral:rRNA from 1 species